GAGGCUCCAAUACUUUGGCCACCUCAUGAGAAGAGAAGACUUCCUGGAAAAGACCCUGAUGUUGGGAAAGAUGGAGGGCACAAGGAGAAGGGGACGACAGAGGAAGAGAUGAUUCGAUAGUGUUCUCGAAGCUACCAGCAUGAGUUUGACCAAACUGCGGGAGGCGGUGGAAGACAGGAGUGCCUGACGUGCUCUGGUCCAUGGGGUCAUGAAGAGUCGGACACGACUAAAUGACUAAACAACAACAACAAAAUGAUCCUCAGGGUCCCUUCCAACUCUAUAAUUCUAUGUAGUCAUACUGUACCUUUCAUGAGCCAAGUGAUCAGGGCUGUGAGGGGAGUUGUGGUCCACCAGCACCUGCAGGUUCCCCAUCCCUGAGCUAGGACAUCUGAGCCCUUUAAAUUUUUAUGUGCCCGAGGCUCCUCUCUAGAUUGUGGUUUCCCUACGUGUAAUUUUAUCUGUAGAGAUGUCUUGUUGUAGUUUGACAUCUGUGUCUUCCGCAUGAUAUAGGCAUGCAUCCAUCUAUGCAGUCUAUAUUUAGCCAUUGCUGCUUUUUGGCUUCACCCAGGGACAGUGCUCUGUGCAAACACUGGAAAUGCACAGAAAAGGGUGGAUUGCUGCAGAGGCAGGCAUGGUAAGCACAUCAUACAUUCAGCUUUCAGAAACUUCUGAUAACCAAUGCACACUUCUAUUUCCUCCUGUAUAAUGCGUUCCUCAUCACUUCAUUCUUGCACCUAAAAGGUCUGCUUUACAGAUGGUUCUGCACCAAUUCCCCAUUCUGAGAGUCUCCUUGACUGGAAGGAGGCAAGCCCACAACCUGUGGCUGCUGCAUCUCUGGGAAAGGCAAUCCUCCUUUGACUGUGAGUAAUUCUUCUGUCUCUUUCAGGAGCAAUUGAAUGAUCUGGUCAUUUGCAAACAAUAGAAUUGCUUGCCCUUGGAGUAGGUGACGCAUUGGGGAUAGCUGUUUGCAGCCUUACCAGGAAGUAAGUAAGCCCCACUUACUUACUCGGAAGGCUUACUUCUGAAUAGACAUGUGUAGCAUUGCAAUGUGUCAGUAACUUAAUGUCCUUGCCCACACAGAGCAGUAGCUAGGGGGUGGCGAGGAAGGCCCCUGCCAGGGGCACAGGCGAGGGGGCCCGCCCCGCAAAAUCGGUUAAAAAUAUGUCUAUCAAUAAAAAUAUUGAUUAUUGCCUCAUA